rnacentral:lncRNA from 11 species
AUGGAGUCUCCUUUCCUGGAGGUUUAUAAGAGGCUAGGUGGCUAUCUGUUGGGAGGGCUUCGAUUGUGCCUUCCUGCAUGGCAGAAAGGGGCUGGACUGGAUAGCCCUCCAAUCCUAGAAUCUACUAUUCCAGUUGGCCCAGAAAAGUACAAAUCCCAGGAUUUUAUUCCUGCCCAUUCGAACCCUGGCUCUGGAGGGAUCCCUUCCGCACUUGUCUGGUUUGGAAGCCUACAGGCCUGUCAUCUUUUGCAGGCUGUGAGCCUGUUCCCAGAUCCUGCAGCCAAGGAAUUUCUCAAAGACAAGGCAAGGGAAGUCAUACAUUUUGCCCACGUGCUGCAAGAAAAAGAACAACAGCAAGUCAAAGUGUCCCGGCUCGAGGCUGAGAAUCGGCGUCUGCAGCAAGAGCUCCAGGAGGCCAAGAGAAGCCAGAGGCCUUUUACAUUUCCAUGGUCUAAAACAGAUUUCCAUGUCCAGAUCCAUGUCACUGGGCGGACUGAAAACUGUGAAAAAAGGUUCUUAAAGAAAGUCUCUGGCCGCCUUUCUGAUCAAAAUAUCAACCUCAAGGUGGAGAAGUACCGAGAGGGCUCCGGCCACUUGCUGCUGGUCUUCUGCCCAGUGUCCACCCGGGUGGGCACCGACAUGGACAACGCUCUUGAGGAUCUCAAAGGUGAGCCAAAGGUUGUCUUGGUGAUGCUGCACCACAAACCGAAGGAGAACACCUCCUUUGUGGACACCAAGCUGCAGGCGCAACACCCAGACGUGGUGUGCACUGUCCACGCUCGCUACACCAUCCAAGAAGGCUUCUACACCUGCCAGAUGAAUGAGGACGCCGUGGCCAUUGUGGCUGAAGUCCUUGAAGACCUCUGCAAAGGGGGGAAGGGUCACCCCGCAAUCCCUGGCGCGCCGUCCAAGUCUCGGAAGCUGCACUGAUUUCAGGAUGCUGCUAACUGCCAGGCAUCUCACUAUUGGGAGGAAAAGGACAUAAAGGAUAAGAAUGUUGGUGACUAUUAUAUUAAUUAUCCUAAAAUUAUUAUUCCACUGGGCUCUGUGUACGCACAGAUUCAACUUUCAGGUCAGCAACCUAACCUUUAAGUCACCAGUCCUGCCAACACAAAGAUUUAACCCACUGCGCCACUAGGGGAUCCUUAUGUUUAUAUUGAUGUUGUUUCAUUCAAUGGUUUGAUUUGGGGGUUUGUUUUGUAAAUUAUUUUUAUUCCCCAAAAAAAGAAUUUUUAAACAUACAAAAAACAGUAGUAAUGGGGGCAGGAAAGUCUUGGGGUCUAAAACCCCAGCGUAAGGGUUAUCUAACUGGGAGUGGUAGGGAAUGAACAGGUAGGAUAGGUUUGAUUUGGUUUUUGUUUUCAUUUUGGCAUUUGAAUGUUUGCCACUUUUUGUUUGGAAACCGUCCUGAGUCCCCUCGGGGAGAUAGGGUGGGUUAUAAAUAAAGAUUGUUGUUGUUGUUAUUAUGUGUGCCAAGUCUGGUCGAGAUCUGUUGUUGGCGGGAAUUGCAGGGUUCUCUGGAUACGAGGUGUACUAUAACUCCCACCAUCUGAGGUCAGUUGCCCCACAAACCUUCCAGUAUUUUCUGUUGGUCUUGAGAAGUCUCAAGUUUGGCCCAGUUAGUAGUUUGUGUUAAUGUGGAAUGUGUGUAUUGAUAGUGUUUAAAUGCAAUUUGUGUCUUGGUUUGUAUUGCAUACUGAUUGCAUCAUCCAGAGUGUAACAUAGUCUGUAAAGAGUUAAUUACUGAGAAGCUGUGAUGACCUUGAUGUGUGGCUGGAACUAGGGAGUGUCCAGACACAAGUGUGUGUAUGCAUUACUGAUUGCAUCUGUUCUGUUCUGUUUGCCUAGAGUGAGAGUCCUGUGUUUGUCUGCAAGUCUGUUUGUCUUGUACAGUAAAACUUUGUAUAUAGUUUUACCAAAGUCUCUGGAUGUCACUUCGUUCUGCAUCCCACUGACUCCAUCUACUGCUGCGCUGCAAAUUACUCUGACAGUUUGAAUGGUCGAUUGAUAGAAUGAGCUUUAAAAAGGUUCCAAGAUCCCCGUUUGCUCCCAUUGAUAAAAAAAUAGCAACAUGUAACAUGCGCUCGUCAUAUAUCAGAGGCCAAAAUGACAAGACUGAAAAAAGAACUGUACUUAACGAACUGGUGCAAAUCAUCACAUAGGUUCAAAACUUUGUUGGAUUGAUCAAAUCAAUAUAGAAAAAACCCCAGUAAAAUAAGGAGUAAAUAGGGGACAAAAAGAGAAAACUACCAUGUAGCUGGUUAGAGCAUCAUGCACAGAUACAGACUAAGACCAAGACUGAGAAGAAAAGAAACAACAACUUUUACUCUCCUUCUUCAAAGGGAAAUGAAGUAUGUAUCUUGGUCAUGAGGGCGUACAAAUGGAAAUUGGGGGUCAGAAAACAGACUGAAACAGACAUGUGAGAUUGCUAAAUCUCCAACAGGCAGCCCUUUAGCAGCCAUAGCUCAGUGCUGUGGAAUCGUGGAGGAUGUAGUUUGGUGUGGCACCAAUCCCUUGUGGCAGAGAAGGCAAGAAGCCUUGUAAAACUACAACUCCCAGGAUUCCAUCGCAUGGAGCCAUGGCAGUUAAAGUGGCAUCCAAUUGCAUUCAUUCUGUACUAUAGAUUUAUGUAUGUAUGUACCCAUUGAACCGGGGGCCUCAGUGGCACAGCAGGUUAAACCACUGAACUGCUGCACUUGCUGACCGAAAGGUUGGUGGUUCGAAUCCGGGGAGCAGGGUGAGCUCCUGCUGUCAGCCCCAGCUUCUGCCAACUUAGCAGUUCGAAAACAUACAAAUGUGAGUAGAUCAAUAGGUACCGCUCCGGCGGGAAGGUAACAGUGCUCUAUGCAGUCAUGCCGGCCACAUGACCUUGGAGACGUCUAUGGACAAUGCCAGCUCUUCAUCUUAGAAAUGGAGAUGAGCACCAACCCCCAGAAUUGAAUUCGACUAGACUUGAUGUCAGGGAAAACCUUUACCUUUACCCCUUAGCCAUUGAGCCAAUGCCACUAAAGUGGUGCCAGGCUACAUUCAUUUUAGAGGGUUGGUGCAGCCUCACAACCUCAUCACAUUGAGAGGGGAAAGCAUGGGUGCCCGUCCCUUUUGUCAGAGUAAUUGCAGCGCAGCAGUAGUUGGAUGGAAUCAGUGGAACGCAGAACGAAGAGACAUCGAGAGAUGAUGGUAAAGCUAUAUACAAAGUUUUACUGACUUCAGCAAUAAUCAAGACAAACAGACUUGUAGACAAUAGACGAACACAGAACUUGACUCAACUCAGAACUGAUGCAAUCAGCAAUGCACACACACUUGUGUCUGGACACUCCUUGGUUCCAGCCACACAUUAAGGUCAACACAGCUUCUCAGUAAUUAACUCUUUCCAGACUAUGUUACACUCUGGAUGAUGCAAUCAGUAUGCAAUACAGGCAAGACACAAAUUGCAUUUAAACACUAUCAAUACACAAAUCCCACAUUAACACCUUUAAGGUAGAGAAUUACUCUUCCUCCCCAUCACACUCACACCUGGAAACUUAAGAGCUGGCAAUACAUUCAUCAUACACUCAUCACAAUUAUUUCAAUUUAUUUAUUUCAAUUAUUUAUACCCUGCCCUUCUCACCCGAGGGGACUCAAGGCGGCUUACAAGUGGCAAUUGAUGCUGUUACACCGUUAUGCAAUGAACUAAAACGUUAAAACAGUUAAAACAGUCAUAAAAGACAAUAUACAAAGUUUAAAACAAUGCAAAUUGCUUAUGCCAUUUAUUUAUUUAUUUACAGUAUUUAUAUUCCACCCUUCUUUCUCACCCGAAGGGGACUCAGGGCGGAUUACAAUGAACACAUAUAUAGCAAACAUUCAAUGCCAGCAGACAAACAACAUACAUUGGACAGACUCAGAGGCAUUUUUAACAUUUUUCCAGCUUCACGAUUCCGGCCACAGGGGGAGCUGUUGCUUCACCAUCCAGUAGUGGCUGUACUUCCUCAUUCCUUUCCUCGUGUUUUGCUGGCAGUUUUAUGGUGUUGUAAAUUAGCCUCCCCGCAUAAAGCGUCCCUAAAUUUCCCUAAUUGACAGGUGCAACUAUCUUUCGGGGUUGCAUAGGUCAACAGCAAGCCGGGGCUAUUAAUGGUCAGGGGCUUAACCCGACCCAGGCUUCGAACUCAUGACCUCUCGGUCAGUAGUGAUUUAUAGCAGCUGGUUACUAGCCAGCUGCGCCACAGCCCGGCCCCAUUCAUCCACCAGACCUUAUACAAGAGCCUUAAUUCAGACCGCGUCGAAGCCAACACAUAUUCUUCAAACGCCUGCGUACAUAGCCAGGUCUUAAGUUUUUUUCUGAACCCCUCCAUCUGAGAGUGUCGAGCAGGCAUCCUCAAACUUCAGCCUUCCAGGUGUUUGGGCCUCCAACUCCCAGAAGCCAUGGGCAGCUUGUUCCCAAACAGCUGGAAGGCCACAGUUUGAGGGCACCUGGUGUGGAGGAAUCCUGAGUUUAUGUCCUCAGAUAAAUGUUGUGGUUGCUGUUGUUAGAUAUUUAUCGAUAUCUAUCGAUAAAUCGGGAAUGCCGUGGAUGUAGCGUACCUAGAUUUCAGUAAGGCCUUCGACAAAGUCCCCCACGACCUUCUGGCAAACAAACUAGUAAAAUGUGGGCUAGACAAAACUACGGUUACGUGGAUCUGUAAUUGGCUAAGCGAACGAACCCAAAGGGUGCUCACCAAGGUGUCGUCCUCAUCUUGGAAAGAAGUCACGAGUGGAGUGCCACAAGCAGGGUUCUGUCCUGGGCCCGGUUCUGUUCAACAUCUUUAUUAACGACUUAGACGAAGGGUUAGAAGGCACGAUCAUCAAGUUUGCAGAUGACACAAAACUGGGAGGGAGAGCUAACACUCCAGAAGACAGGAGCAGAAUUCAAAACGAUCUUGACAGACUAGAGAGAUGGGCCAAAACUAACAAAAUGAAGUUCAACGGGAACAAAUGCAAGAUACUUCACUUCGGCAGAAAAAAUGGAAAUCAAAGAGACAGAAUGGGGGACGAUGCCUGGCUUGACAGCAGUGUGUGCGAAAAAGACCUUGGAGUCCUUGUGGGGAGGAAGAGAAACAUGAGCCAACAAUGUGAUGCGGCUGCUAAAAAAGCCAAUGGGAUUCUGUCCUGCAUCAAUAGGGGAAUAGCGUCUAGAUCCAGGGAAGUCCUGCUCCCCCUCUUUCUAUUCUGCCUUGGUCAGACCACACCUGGAAUCACACUGUGUCCAAUUCUGGGCACCACAGUUGAAGGGAGAUGUUGACAAUCUGGAAAGCAUCCAGAGGAGGGCGACUAAAAUGAUUAAGGGUCUGGAGAACAAGCCCUAUGAGGAGCGGCUUAAAGAACUAGGCAUGUUUAG